rnacentral:lncRNA from 1 species
AGGCCAACAUAGAAUCUUGUGCACAUGAACCCAUAUUUUGGUUCAUACCCAGGCAUGGUAUUAAGAUAUGUACGGGGUGUUUUGGAUAUGGUGGAGUGUAUAUGAAGGUUGUAAGUAGGUCAACAUGGAAAUGAUCACUCCUAGUAAGAGGUGAUCGCAUCCUGUGUAUUCUUAAUCCUAGAUGACUUGAGAAAAAUCUUUUGGCCA